GCGCGCCUUAGCUCAGCUGGAUAGAGCACGUCCCUUCUAAGGAUGUGGUCGUAGGUUCGAAUCCUACAGGGCGUG
rnacentral:tRNA from 1 species